GACGAACGCUGGCGGCGUGCUUAACACAUGCAAGUCGAACGGAAAGACCCUGCUUUUGUGGGGUGCUCGAGUGGCGAACGGGUGAGUAACACGUGAGUAACCUGCCCUUGACUUUGGGAUAACUUCAGGAAACUGGGGCUAAUACCGGAUAGGAGCUCCUGCUGCAUGGUGGGGGUUGGAAAGUUUCGGCGGUUGGGGAUGGACUCGCGGCUUAUCAGCUUGUUGGUGGGGUAGUGGCUUACCAAGGCUUUGACGGGUAGCCGGCCUGAGAGGGUGACCGGCCACAUUGGGACUGAGAUACGGCCCAGACUCCUACGGGAGGCAGCAGUGGGGAAUAUUGCACAAUGGGCGGAAGCCUGAUGCAGCGACGCCGCGUGCGGGAUGACGGCCUUCGGGUUGUAAACCGCUUUCGCCUGUGACGAAGCGUGAGUGACGGUAAUGGGUAAAGAAGCACCGGCUAACUACGUG
rnacentral:rRNA from 1 species